rnacentral:rRNA from 1 species
UACGGGGGGGCAAGCGUUGUUCGGAAUUACUGGGCGUAAAGGGUUCGUAGGUGGCUUGUUAAGUCAGACGUGAAAUCCCUCGGCUCAACCGGGGAACUGCGUCUGAGACUGAUGAGCUCGAGUGCAGGAGAGGAACGCGGAAUUCCAGGUGUAGCGGUGAAAUGCGUAGAUAUCUGGAGGAACACCGGUGGCGAAGGCGGCGUUCUGGACUGCAACUGACACUGAGGAACGAAAGCCAGGGGAGCAAACGGG